rnacentral:rRNA from 1 species
AUUGAACGCUGGCGGCAUGCCUUACACAUGCAAGUCGAACGGCAGCACGGGGGCAACCCUGGUGGCGAGUGGCGAACGGGUGAGUAACACAUCGGAACGUGCCCAGUAGUGGGGGAUAGCUCGGCGAAAGCCGGAUUAAUACCGCAUACGACCUACGGGUGAAAGCGGGGGAUCGCAAGACCUCGCGCUAUUGGAGCGGCCGAUGUCAGAUUAGGUUGUUGGUGGGGAAAGGCCUACCAAGCCGACGAUCUGUAGCUGGUCUGAGAGGACGACCAGCCACAGUGGAACUGAGAGACGGUCCACACACCUACGGGUGGCAGCAGUCGAGGAUCUUGGACAAUGGGCGCAAGCCUGAUCCAGCGACGCCGCGUGAGGGAUGAAGGUCUUCGGA